AACUUUCAGCAACGGAUCUCUUGGCUCUCGCAUCGAUGAAGAACGCAGCGAAAUGCGAUAAGUAAUGUGAAUUGCAGAAUUCAGUGAAUCAUCGAAUCUUUGAAAGCACCUUGCGCUCCUUGUGGUAUUCCGAGGAGCAUGCCUGUUUGAGUGUC
rnacentral:rRNA from 1 species